UAUCAAGGACUUCACUAAAUUAGCAGGUACCACUGGUCUUCUUGUGCUUAUCCGGGCAAGAACUUAUCGAAAUACAAUAGAAGUUUUUACUUAGAAGAGAUUUUCAGGAGAAGUGAAAUGACAACCUCACUAGAUACAGUUGAGACCUUUGGUACCACAUCCUACUAUGAUGACGUGGGCCUGCUCUGUGAAAAAGCUGAUACCAGAGCACUGAUGGCCCAGUUUGUGCCCCCGCUGUACUCCCUGGUGUUCACUGUGGGCCUCUUGGGCAAUGUGGUGGUGGUGAUGAUCCUCAUAAAAUACAGGAGGCUCCGAAUUAUGACCAACAUCUACCUGCUCAACCUGG
rnacentral:lncRNA from 1 species